CCUACGGGAGGCAGCAGUGGGGAAUUUUGGACAAUGGGCGCAAGCCUGAUCCAGCAAUGCCGCGUGCAGGAUGAAGGCCUUCGGGUUGUAAACUGCUUUUGUACGGAACGAAACGGUUCUUUCUAAUAAAGAGAGCUAAUGACGGUACCGUAAGAAUAAGCACCGGCUAACUACGUGCCAGCAGCCGCGGUAAUACGUAGGGUGCGAGCGUUAAUCGGAAUUACUGGGCGUAAAGCGUGCGCAGGCGGUUAUAUAAGACAGAUGUGAAAUCCCCGGGCUCAACCUGGGACCUGCAUUUGUGACUGUAUGGCUAGAGUACGGUAGAGGGGGAUGGAAUUCCGCGUGUAGCAGUGAAAUGCGUAGAUAUGCGGAGGAACACCGAUGGCGGAGGCAAUCCCCUGGACCUGUACUGACGCUCAUGCACGAAAGCGUGGGGAGCAAACAGGAUUAGAUACCCUGGUAGUCCACGCCCUAAACGAUGUCAACUGGUUGUUGGGUCUUCACUGACUCAGUAACGAAGCUAACGCGUGAAGUUGACCGCCUGGGGAGUACGGCCGCAAGGUUGAAACUCAAAUGAAAUUGACGG
rnacentral:rRNA from 1 species